rnacentral:rRNA from 1 species
UACGUAGGGGGCAAGCGUUGUCCGGAUUUAUUGGGCGUAAAGAGCGUGUAGGCGGCCAGAUAGGUCCGUUGUGAAAACUCGAGGCUCAACCUCGAGGCGCCGAUGGAAACCAUUUGGCUAGAGUCCGGAAGAGGAGAGUGGAAUUCCUGGUGUAGCGGUGAAAUGCGCAGAUAUCAGGAAGAACACCUAUGGCGAAGGCAGCUCUCUGGGACGGUACUGACGCUGAGACGCGAAAGCGUGGGGAGCGAGCAGG